CUUCCAGACUCCUACGGGAGGCAGCAGUAGGGAAUCUUUCACAAUGGGCGAAAGCCUGAUGGAGCAACGCCGCGUGCAGGAUGAAGGCCUUCGGGUUGUAAACUGCUUUUAUAAGCGAGAAAUAUGAUGGUAACUUAUGAAUAAGGAUCGGCUAACUACGUGCCAGCAGCCGCGGUAAUACGUAGGGGGCAAGCGUUAUCCGGAUUCACUGGGUGUAAAGGGAGCGUAGACGGCGACGCAAGUCUGGAGUGAAAGCCCGGGGCCCAACCCCGGGACUGCUCUGGAAACUGCGGCGCUGGAGUACGGGAGGGGCAGGCGGAAUUCCUGGUGUAGCGGUGAAAUGCGUAGAUAUCAGGAGGAACACCGGUGGCGGAGGCGGCCUGCUGGACUGCAACUGACGUUGAGGCCCGAAAGCGUGGGGAGCAAACAGGAUUAGAUACCCGAGUA
rnacentral:rRNA from 1 species